AUUGAACGCUGGCGGCAUGCCUUACACAUGCAAGUCGAACGGUAACGGGCCUUCGGGUGCCGACGAGUGGCGAACGGGUGAGUAAUACAUCGGAACGUGCCCGAUCGUGGGGGAUAACGAGGCGAAAGCUUUGCUAAUACCGCAUACGAUCUACGGAUGAAAGCAGGGGACCGCAAGGCCUUGCGCGGACGGAGCGGCCGAUGGCAGAUUAGGUAGUUGGUGGGAUAAAAGCUUACCAAGCCGACGAUCUGUAGCUGGUCUGAGAGGAUGAUCAGCCACACUGGGACUGAGACACGGCCCAGACUCCUACGGGAGGCAGCAGUGGGGAAUUUUGGACAAUGGGCGCAAGCCUGAUCCAGCCAUGCCGCGUGCAGGAUGAAGGCCUUCGGGUUGUAAACUGCUUUUGUACGGAACGAAAAGCCUUCUUUUAAUACAGGAGGGUCAAGACGGUACCGUAAGAAUAAGCACCGGCUAACUACGUG
rnacentral:rRNA from 1 species